AGUUGGUCCGAGGGUUGUGGGUUAUUGUUAAGCUGAUUUAACAUUGUCUCCCCCCACAACCACGCUUGACUAGCUUUGUGUUUU
rfam:Microcebus murinus cont1.212299, whole genome shotgun sequence.